UAGAAAUAAUGAGGAAGUGACACUUAUACGCAAAGCUGAUUUGGAGAACCAUAAUAAAGAUGGAGGUUUCUGGACUGUGAUUGACGGGAAAGUAUAUGAUAUAAAGGACUUCCAGACACAGUCGUUAACAGGAAAUAGUAUUCUUGCUCAGUUUGCAGGAGAAGACCCAGUGGUAGCUUUGGAAGCUGCUUUGCAGUUUGAAGACACUCGGGAAUCCAUGCACGCGUUUUGUGUUGGCCAAUAUUUGGAGUUCCUAAGAAGCCAGAAUCUAUAGAUGAUGAAGAAAAAAUUGGAAAUGGAGUGAUUUAGAAGAAACUUGCAUUUUGCCUCACAGUCCAAUAAAUGUGGACAAGAGACCCAUUGCAAUUAAAUCACCCAAGUUGGAGAGAGCAGAGAUUCGCCUGGAAGGGAUAGAUACAAUUUUAAAACUGGGAACCUCUUACUGAUUGUUUAAAGGAUGUUGAUUUGAUCCCACCUUUUAAUCGGAUGCUGCUGGAAGUCACCUUUGGCAAGCUGUAUGCUUGGGCUGUUCAGAACAUUCGAAAUGUUUUGAUGGAUGCCAGUGCCAAAUUUAAAGAGUUUGGUAUCCAGCCGGUUCCCCUGCAAACCAUCACCAAUGAGAACGUGUCAGGACCGAGCCUGGGGACCAUCCCGCAAGCCCGCUUCCUCCUGGUGAUGCUCAGCAUGCUCACCCUGCAGCACGGCACAAACAACGUCGACCUCCUGCUCAAUUCCAGCACGCUGGCCCUCGCUCAGAUGGCACUGCGCCUGAUUGACCUCAAGAAACACUCAUUCAGAUGAAGACAAAGAUGGCAACUGGGAUGCUUGGGGCAACUGGAGUGAUUGCUUCCGGACCUGUGGGGGAGGAGUGUCAUAUUCUCUGCGGAGAUGUUUGACCGGAAGGAAUUGUGAAGGGCAGAACAUUCGGUACAAGACAUGCAGCAAUCAUUCCCCUCCGUGGAUCCUUAUUGCUUUUAAAUCUCCUCACGUGCAUUCAAGGACCUUCUUAUCUUCAGGACUGCCCUCCAGAUGCAGAAGCUUUCAGAGCCUGGCAGUGCUCAGCCUACAAUGAUGUCCAGUAUCGGGGCGUUACUAUGAAUGGCUUCCACGAUAUAAUGAUCCUGCUGCUCCGUGUGCACUCAAGUGUCAUGCAUGAGGACAAAAUUUGGUGGUGGAGCUGGCACCUAAGGUACUGGAUGGAACUCGUUGCAACACGGACUCCUUGGACAUGUGUAUCAGUGGCAUCUGUCAGGCAGUGGGCUGCGAUUGGCAACUGGGAAGCAAUGCCAAGGAAGACAACUGUGGAGUCUGUGCCGGCGAUGGCUCCACCUGCAGGCUCGUACGGGGACAAUCGAAGUCACACGUUUCUCCUGAGAAAAUUAUUGAAUCAAAAACACUUCAAGGAAGCAAAGGAGAACACAGCUUUAACAGCCCCGGAGUCUUUGUCAUAGCAAACACAACAGUGGAAUUUCAGAGGGCUCCGAAAGGCAAACUUUUAAGAUUCCAGGACCUCUGAUGGCUGAUUUCAUCUUCAAGAUUAUCAGCUCAAUUCUGCUGAAUGUGUGGAUAUCCGCUUGAAGAGGGUAGUUCCUGACCAUUAUUGUCACUACUACCCUGAAAAUGUAAAACCAAAACCAAAACUGAAGGAAUGCAGCGUGGAUCCCUGCCCAUCAAGGUUUGUGUCAUUGUCCACACCCUUUUUACUUCAAAAAGAAACAAAUCAGCUUCACCUGAGACUGAUCAAUCUUUGCAGGGCAAUACAUUUCCAUUUCGUGACUUUGUCUCCUGGCGGCAGGUGCCUACGUUCACAUUUGUAACUAUGGUGCAUAGAAGUGAGGACACAUUCAUUAGGAAUGAAAGUCUAGCUUUCUCUUGUCGUGGGCUGUGUGUUCCUAAGUUUUUAUAAUGAACCUUUUUGAACAUCUCCUGCUCUCUUCAUCCAAGUAAUACGUCUAGUCCAUCUGCCAAUCAUAAAUAUCUUUCACUCACCAUUUUAGCUUUUAAACUGGGUCACCCAUUAUCAUGUUUUGGCUUUUGAAGUAUUCCUAUUAAAUUCAGUAUAAAUAAUGCAUUGUGCAAGGAAGUAAAAUUUUAAUGCCAAAGCAAAAAAGCUAUGCAUAAACUAUCCUAUUGCAUAAUUUAGUACCUGCUGACUUGGAUUGCCUGGGGAAGUUUCCUGGCUUACUACAAUACCUUAAAAUAACAGAACAAUAUCAAGUCCCAUAAUCCUCCAGAUAUCUGCCAGCUGGCUUAGGAAGAAGUGUGCAAGUGGAAAAGGAAGCGUUCUCAGUGGAUUUCAUUUCCUGUUACUAAACUGCCCAUUUCCUGUAAGCCUGGUUGAACGUAAUUAUGAAUAGAGACCUUUCAGAGGACAAAUUCUGUGAAAUAAAGUGGUUUUCUGAAGAUCCUACUAAUACGACAGUGUGUUAAUAUCACUAAUAUAUUAAGAGAGUAAUUAUUAUAAAAAGGAAUAAAUUUAUUGAAAUUGCAAGAUACUUUUUUCCUUUGAUUAAUAUACUGCUAGUUUAGUUUUCUAUAUUUUCAAAUAGAACUGGGGAAUUUGUGUCGUAGAUAUUCUUGACAAUUAAAGAGAUGGUGGCUGAAUUUUUGGGAAUGGUUGAUAACACUUGAUAUUUUUAGUUUCCAAUUUGGAAGAGCUCUGUCUUUUGGGAUGUCAAAUAUUAUAUUCAUCAAUUAAUGAAUGUGUGAAUUUAUUAUAGAAAUGAUAUUCUCACAAUGAUUUCAUUUGUAGUGAUGGAUUUAAAGAGAUAAUGCCCUAUGACCACUUCCAACCUCUUCCUCAGCGAGUGAUAUGUUUCCUUUUCCUUUUUGCAGUUUAAGUAGUUUGCAAGGAACUGUAGCAUCUGUAGCAAUAGCCUAAAAUGUAUGAGGGUUAGAUAUUAGACACUUUAUAAAGCUAAGGGAAAACAGACUUCAACUCAAUAAUAGGAAAAAUCUUUCUAAGAAUUAGAUGGAAUAGGCUGCCUCAAAAGAUGAUGUUUCCCAUCGCUGGAGCUGUCAAGCGUAUCUUGGACAACUGAGUAUUAUAGCAGGAGCUCAAGUGUUGCAAUUAAUCAGAAAUUUUAAUCCCCUUUUAUCCCGAAAAGAGUAAUAUGGUCCUUCCUGACUCUGAGGUUCUGUGAUUCUCUAAUAAUAUUGUCCAUUAGUAUUUUACAGUUUAGAGGCAGUUUGAAGAUGCAGCCACACUGUAUAUUUUAAUUGAUUUAAUUUUCACAAUGGUCUGAUGAAGGGUAAAUAGGGAAGGUAUAUUAUUCCCAGUUGACAAAAACCCCAGAUGUGAGGAGCUAAGUACCCUGUGACUAAAAUUUGUGUGUGGCAGUUAAGAAUAAAGUCUUGGCCGGGCGUGGUGGCACAUGCCUGUAAUCCCAGCACUUUGGGAGGCUAAGGCGGGUGGAUCACUUGAGGUCAGGAGUUCAAGACCAGCCUGGCCAACAUGGCGAAACCCCAUCUCUACUAAAAUGUACAAAAAUUAGCCGAGCGUGGUGGCAGGUGCCUGUAAUCCCAGCUACUUGGGAGGCUGAAGCAGGAGAAUAGCUUGAACCCAGGAGGCAGAGGUUGCAGUGAGCCAAGAUCUUGCCACUGCACUCCAGCCUGGGUGACAGAAAGAGACUCCAUCUU